rnacentral:lncRNA from 1 species
UCAGUGUAGGUAGAGGUCUUUGGUUUGAAUUUUUGCAAGGGUGUGGGGUGAUUUUAUUUUGUUUGUCUUAGAUCAACUGUCAAGUUGGUGGUGUUGGUGUGGGUUUUAAACUCUUAAAAGAUGGUUGGUUAUCAAAGGAUUUCAUUUUUAUCAUAUUCUUUUACUUUUUUAAAAAUAACCCCAACAAAAAUCUAUUUCCCACUUUUUGUUGCACGUUUAGUUAUAUGUUCUUUUUCUAUUUUUUUCCUUUUUUUCUCUCUUUAUUUUUCUUUCUCUUUUGCUUUUUG